CCUCGUGUACUCUCUAUAAAUGAAACCAAGCACAGCAUCUUCCAUGGAGGACCCUUCUUCUGGAUUCCUCUCUACCCCCAACAAUGGCCUGACACCGCUGCCCUGCAUGCAACCCAUGCAGUGUUCUCACUACUUCUCAGCUUCGCCGGUGGUGUUGAAGAUGAUGCCUCAACGGCCGAUGCAGCGAAGGUAUCCACUAGGCAGGUGCUAGGCCAUGUAGGGCAACUAAACAACUUUGGCAGGUCUUCCUUCUCCAUCUCGACAAGAAGAUGGAAUUACCUUCUUCGGCACAGUCUGGAAGCAUCAGCUAGGUGCUGACCUAAAAUAGUUAUCCAUAGAUCCAUAAGUCAAUGAGCAUGCCACAGCUCUGAAGCAUAAAACAUAUAGACCUACACAAAUACUUGUCAGAAUUUAUGAGUUAUGACAAUAUGCUACUAUGAACAUGGAAACGACUAUGAUUCUCCAUUUCACCAUUUGGUUUUGAUUCCAGGAGUUAGCAUGACGACAUUA